rnacentral:rRNA from 1 species
AGAGUUUGAUCCUGGCUCAGGACGAACGCUGGCGGCGCGCUUAACACAUGCAAGUCGAGCGAUGAAGUUUCUUCGGAAAUGGAUUAGCGGCGAACGGGUGAGGAACACGUGAAGAAUCUGCCCUCCACUUUGGGAUAACACCGGGAAACCGGUGCUAAUACCGAAUAUUGAAACAUAAGUGGCAUCACUGAGUUUUGAAAGAAUUUCGGUGGAGGAUGACUUCGCGGCCUACCAGCUAGUUGGUGAGGUAAUGGCUCACCAAGGCAACGACGGGUAGCCGGCCUGAGAGGGCGACCGGCCACACUGGGACUGAGACACGGCCCAGACUCCUACGGGAGGCAGCAGUGGGGAAUAUUGGGCAAUGGAGGAAACUCUGACCCAGCGACGCCGCGUGCGGGAUGAAGGCCUUCGGGUUGUAAACCGCUUUCAGUAGGGAAGAAGCGAAAGUGACGGUACCUACAAAAGAAGCACCGGCUAACUAUGUGCCAGCAGCCGCGGUAAUACAUAGGGUGCAAGCGUUGUCCGGAAUUAUUGGGCGUAAAGAGCUCGUAGGUCGUUUGUUACGUCGGAUGUGAAAACCUGAGGCUCAACCUCAGGCCUGCAUUCGAUACGGGCAAACUAGAGUUUGGUAGGGGAGACUGGAAUUCCUGGUGUAGCGGUGGAAUGCGCAGAUAUCAGGAGGAACACCAAUGGCGAAGGCAGGUCUCUGGGCCAAUACUGACACUGAGGAGCGAAAGUCUGGGGAGCAAACAGGAUUAGAUACCCUGGUAGUCCAGACCGUAAACGGUGGGCACUAGUUGUGGGAACCUUCCACGGUUUCUGCGACGCAGCUAACGCAUUAAGUGCCCCGCCUGGGGAGUACGAUCGCAAGAUUAAAACUCAAUGGAAUUGACGG